CAGCUCACCAUUUUGAAUAUCUUGUUUACAAUUUGUCUGUCAAAAUCGCCGCCAAUCAGCUGAUGCUUAGCAUCAACAACAGAGAUAAGUUAACGGAAGACAAAACUUUGGCGUACUUCUUCAAUAAACUAAAACAUAUCCCACAGUGAAUAUAAUUUUAUAUUUUAGCUCAGCAUAGCCGAUCAUAGAGACCCGGUAUAUGGUCGAUCCUUACAGCUUUGCCGUAAUUCUUCUUUUAUAACAAUCAGCUGCUUCAGGACUGUGAGAAAUAAUGCAGCGGGCAAAGUUUUCAAACGUGUAUGCUGGUUCUACAAAGUGAAUGUAGGAUUUCAAUGAAUGGCCCACGAUCGAACGAUUAACGUCGAUUCUAUAACAUAACAUGGUUAUCUGAGGAGCAACGACUGAGUGCAGGAGCAAGUGCGGAAAGUCACUAUGGUUGCCGGACCGGGCGGGCAGUGAACCGGCUGAUCGGACAAUGGACUAAUCAUACAAUGACAUCAGCAGGUCGGUCGACCGAUGUCCAGACCAGAGAGUGGAUCCUACGGUGCGCGCAGCAUUAGGUGACUGAUAAUAUAACUGACUCUGGCCAGUUCAGCGCUUGAUGGGGAAUCAGGACUACAAGAGGAUUGGUUGGUCUGGUUACACAUCUCCCAUCACACAUGCUAAGAGAAACCCGGUACAUGAUGUCUUGUUACACUUGGUCCAGUCUACUUGAACAUAGCUAAUUUUACUAUUUGCAUGAAGCUAAAUUAUAAAAAUGUUGCGAGUAACCAUUCAAAAUAAACGCAUCGGUAAUAGUGAUGGGCGAGUCGACCUGAACCUAUCGGGUCGGAGCCAUCCGUAAGCGACCCGGUGUUGUUCGGGUCGACCCGAAAAGUACAAGUAGGUUCAGUAGGUACAACGACUCCGGUAGAUGCAAAAAAGCAUAAGCGACUCUGACCCAUUAGUGCAACGAGUUCGGGUCGGGUGGGGCCAAGGUGGGCUCAUCCCGACCCGCUGGUGCAGCGAGUUCGGGUCGGGUCGUGUCAAGAUAGGUUCAAUCUGACCCGACCCGACCCGAACUUGCUGCACCAACGGGUCGGAAUCUCUUAUGCUCUCUCGCACCUAAUCAUCAUUCGGGUCGACCCGAACUCGUUGCACCCACGGGUCGGAUUUGAUUCCGAUUCCGAUUCCGACUGGCUCGCACCCGACUCCGGGUCGGGUCGUGAAAUGAAUCGUAUGACCCACCACUAAUCGGUAUAUCACUUGUGGUUGUUACUGCUGUUAGAAGUGCAGUGUAAAUAUUUUAAAAAUGCCGCAUGUAUGUCCCGAAGGAUAAUAGAGGAUCACCCACGGGGUGGGAAGCACCGUAUUCAAGAGAAAUGUGCGGCAGAAUAACGUUGUUUGAUCUACAGUUUAACCGUAGCUUAUGGCUCACAUUAUAGUCAGGCUGUUCAGCUGCUGCUUUUAAAUUUAAGUAUCGCAUACGCACAAUCACUCGUUGCUUUGCAAAACAGCGAAUUAUA